UAGUUGUCUUCUUUAUCCAUUGCUAUAUAUAUGGAUAACUUUAAUCGAAAAACCCUAAAGUGAUAGCUCAAUUCAUGCAAGGACAAAAACCCUAGUGAAUCUUCCCAGAUGGGUCCUCCUCCUGCCAAAAAAAAAUGAUAAUAACCUAGUUAAUAAUUUACAGCAAGUAAAUGAAAAUGCAGGUAAAUAUGCUACAAUAUGAGACUAGUUUUUGGGGUAGACAAUUAAGUGCAAAAAAUUAUGAAGCAGAAGUUGCAUGGAAGUUAGGGGAAAACGGAAGUAGCCAAGAGAGAACCUGAUUGGAGAGAGAGAGAGAGA
rnacentral:misc_RNA from 1 species